CAGCCGCCGCGGUAAUACAGAGGGUGCAAGCGUUAAUCGGAAUUACUGGGCGUAAAGCGCGCGUAGGUGGUUUGUUAAGUUGGAUGUGAAAUCCCCGGGCUCAACCUGGGAACUGCAUUCAAAACUGACUGACUAGAGUAUGGUAGAGGGUGGUGGAAUUUCCUGUGUAGCGGUGAAAUGCGUAGAUAUAGGAAGGAACACCAGUGGCGAAGGCGACCACCUGGACUAAUACUGACACUGAGGUGCGAAAGCGUGGGGAGCAAACAGGAUUAGAUACCCGCGUAGUCCCUGUCUCUUAUAC
rnacentral:rRNA from 1 species